CCUACGGGAGGCAGCAGUGGGGGAUAUUGCACAAUGGGGGAAACCCUGAUGCAGCGACGCCGCGUGGGUGAAGAAGCGCCUCGGCGCGUAAAGCUCUUUCAGCAGGGAAGAAAAUGACGGUACGUGACGACGAAGCCCCGGCUAACUAGGUGCCAGCAGCCGCGGUAAUACGGAGGGGGCAAGCGUUAUCCGGAUGUACUGGGUGUAAAGGGGGCGCAGACGGCGAUGCAAGCCAGGGGUGAAAGCCCGGGGCCCAACCCCGGGACUGCUCUUGAAACUGCGUAGCUAGAGUGCAGGUGGGGCAGGCGGAAUGUCUGGUGUAGCGGUGAAAUGCGUAGAGAUCAGGAGGAACACCGGUGGCGAAGGCGGCCUGCUGGACUGCAACUGACGUUGAGGCCCGAAAGCGUGGGGAGCAAACAGGAUUAGAUACCCGGGUAGUC
rnacentral:rRNA from 1 species